rnacentral:lncRNA from 1 species
UAGCUCCACACAUAAUAACAACGUCCGAAUGUAUUCAUCAUUGUGAAGGGCAGAUAUCAUACUGACCGAUCAGUGGACCUACUUUAAAUAAUAGGGUAUCGGUUCUCAGUGUCUCGGUCCUCUCGGUUCCUACCCCCUACCCGAACCCGAUUUUCAUUUCAACUAUUCAAGUGCAAUUGAUAAAUGGAAGAUGUAAUUUCAGUUACACACGUAUGAAGAUUCAUCUCACAGUGGAUUAUAUCACAAUUGCAAUCACUAUUUCAGAUUCCAAAAUUGGUGGAUUAAAUCACAAAUUUGAAGUAUAACAUCAUGUACCUUGCCAACAACAAGCGUGGAGCAACCGUCAAUUGAAGAACGAAGAACAAAACAAAAAAUGAAUGUAGAUUGCAAGAGAGUGAAGAAUUAGUAUGAUGACUGAUGAUGAUCUGUGUGUACGUACGUAAAUUAGGUAUAGUAUUGAAUUUAGUAUAAAAGUGAAAAGUCAGUCCAAUAAAAUAACAGGCCAAAGCCCAUUCGAUUUGGUUUAAAUCGGUCCAGUU